GACGAACGCUGGCGGCGUGCUUAACACAUGCAAGUCGAACAGAAAGGCCCUGCUUUUGUGGGGUGCUCGAGUGGCGAACGGGUGAGUAACACGUGAGUAACCUGCCCUUGACUUUGGGAUAACUUCAGGAAACUGGGGCUAAUACCGGAUAGGAGCUCCUGCUGCAUGGUGGGGGUUGGAAAGUUUCGGCGGUUGGGGAUGGACUCGCGGCUUAUCAGCUUGUUGGUGGGGUAGUGGCUUACCAAGGCUUUGACGGGUAGCCGGCCUGAGAGGGUGACCGGCCACAUUGGGACUGCGAUACGGCCCAAACUCCUACGGGAGGCAGCAGUGGGGAAUAUUGCACAAUGGGCGGAAGCCUGAUGCAGCAACGCCGCGUGCGGGAUGACGGCCUUCGGGUUGUAAACCGCUUUCGCCUGUGACGAAGCGUGAGUGACGGUAAUGGGUAAAGAAGCACCGGCUAACUACGUG
rnacentral:rRNA from 1 species